AAUCUAUUUCGUGUCCCAACUUCGCCUUUACUCCUUUUCUCACAACAACUUUCAAAAGCUCUGAGAUCUCAGAUUCGACGCCGUUGGUUAUCUAUCUCCGUCGCAUAAUCUGAGAGUAAAUGGAUAAGGAGGCAGCUGAAACUGCGAGGGACUCGCUGGAGCUUGCGUUUCGAAUGUCCAACAUCUUGGAGACUGGUCUCGAUCGACAUACCUUGUCCGUUUUGAUUGCUCUUUGCGAUCUUGGUCUUAACCCUGAGGCUUUAGCUGCUGUCGUCAAGGAGCUCCGACAAGAGUCCGGCAACAACCACGGAAACAGCAGCUUAGCAUAGAUUAGUUCGAAUCCUUUUGUUUCACUAUGCUUUUCUGUAAGAUUUUGACAAAUCUGAAGUUUGAUGCUUUGAUGUUCUGUCAUUUGAUAUAAUUGAUUUAAGGCUUCACUUCCAAAAA